rnacentral:tRNA from 1 species
UAAAAGAUAAGCUAAUUAAGCUAAUGGGUUCAUACCCCGUAAAUAGGAUUGUCCUUCUUUUUA